CUUGAGACCGGCGCACGGGUGCGUAACGCGUAUGCAAUCUACCUUGUACAGGGGAAUAGCCCAGAGAAAUUUGGAUUAAUGCCCCAUGGUAUAAUUGAAUGGCAUCAUUUAAUUAUUAAAGUCCAGGCGGUACAAGAUGAGCAUGCGUCCCAUUAGCUAGUUGGUAUGGUAACGGCUUACCAAGACAGCGAUGGGUAGGGGCCCUGAGAGGGGGAUCCCCCACACUGGUACUGAGAUACGGACCAGACUUC
rnacentral:rRNA from 1 species